rnacentral:misc_RNA from 1 species
GAUGAAGAACGUAGCGAAAUGCGAUAAGUAAUGUGAAUUGCAGAAUUCAGUGAAUCAUCGAGUCUUUGAACGCACCUUGCGCCCUUUGGCCAUUCCGAAGGGCAUGCCUGUUUGAGUAUCAUGAACACCUCAACUCUUUAUGGUUUUCCAUGAUGAGCUUGGACUCUGGGGGUUUUGCUGGCUCACAGUCGGCUCCUCUAAAAUGAAUCAGCUUACCAGUGUUUGGUGGGUAUCAUGGGUGUGAUAACUAUCUACGCUUGUGGUUUUUCCACCAGGUAACCUUCAGCAGUGGAGGUUCGCUGGAGCUCAUAGAUGUCUCUCCUCAGUGAGGACAGCCCUUUGAAUGUUUGAUCUCAAAUCAGGUAGGACUACCCGCUGAACUUAAGCAUAUCAAUAAGCGGAGGA